GACGAACGCUGGCGGCGUGCUUAACACAUGCAAGUCGAACGGAAAGGCCCUGCUUUUGUGGGGUGCUCGAGUGGCGAACGGGUGAGUAACAAGUGAGUAACCUGCCCUUGACUUUGGGAUAACUUCAGGAAACUGGGGCUAAUACCGGAUAGGAGCUCCUGCUGCAUGGUGGGGGUUGGAAAGUUUCGGCGGUUGGGGAUGGACUCGCGGCCUAUCAGCUUGUUGGUGGGGUAGUGGCUUACCAAGGCUUUGACGGGUAGCCGGCCUGAGCGGGUGACCGGCCACAUUGGGACUGAGAUACGGCCAAGACUCCUACGGGAGGCAGCAGUGGGGAAUAUUGCACAAGGGGCGGAAGCCUGAUGCAGCAACGCCGCGUGCGGGAUGACGGCCUUCGGGUUGUAAACCGCUUUCGCCUGUGACGAAGCGUGAGUGACGGUAAUGGGUAAAGAAGCACCGGCUAACUACGUG
rnacentral:rRNA from 1 species